UUUUGAGGACCCCAAAUUAUUCAAACAAAAAAUAAAAUAAAAUUUUGGUUUUUAACUUCGAUCAAACAACUGAGUCUCUGGGAACCAUUCAUAAAACUCGUGGCUUUAAGCAUUUAGUCUUUAACAAAGAUUCUUAUUUUUUGGGGUUCGAAUCUUAUUAUAUCAUCCCUUCUCUCCAAGACGGCUUCCACCUAAAAACACUGAAAGGCUGUAGUAGGAUGGUUCCAUGAUGUUAACGGUGAAUCCUCCGGGAGCCAUCGGCAAAAGCCAGGCGGCGUUUCUGGGCAAUAUUACCCUUUUCUGUAAACUGCCUUCUGCUGCGAUUUUCCGUAAGCUACCUGCAGGGAUUCACUGCAAUUUGCCAUCCUGGAAAGAUUCCAGGAAGCUUACUACCCAUCAUCUUGUAUCACAUCGACUUGCUCCAAAGAGAUGGCUGUGUCAAUCAAGUGGUUCUGUUUCAUCGGAUGAUGAGUAUCGUUCAUCAAGGAAUAUAGCCAUCAGCCUGUUUAGGCGAUACAGGAAUGUCAUUGACCGUGGGGGAGGUGACAACCUAAAAGAGUUCAUUAGUGCUGGGGUGAAUGCCUAUGCAUUGGGCUGCACAGAUGAAGGAUUGCGGAAAGAACUUGUUGCCAUGAAAGAAUCUGGCAUCGAAAUCGAAGCAAUGCAGAACUAUGGCGGAAGCACCAGCUUGAAAUCCAAGAUUUGUGCAGAGGAGGUGGAUGAGUGUAUUUUAUGGCUAAGCAUAAUAUUCAUCACCAUUUUGUGUACACCACAGCCGACCAUCGUCAGAUGGUCCUCUACACCUGCAGUGUCAGAUGAUGUCCUGUAUCAGUGGAAAGGCUUCUGUGCUCUCAUAGCAAAUGCAUAUUAUAUAAGAGGAAUGGCAUGUAAAGCAGAUUGAUGGGUUCUUACAGCUUUUGCUAAAUUCUUGUUUUGCCAAAGGCUUCCAGUAAAGACUCUCCAGCUAGAGCAAAUGGCUGUGGUUGAGCGAGCUGAGGAGCCAUCAGUUGUUGCUAGCCGAAUGCGAUUAGUUUUUAGCACACUUGAGGUAGUUAGUCCACAGUGGCCAAGAGUCUAAUAAGUUGUUGCAACAUUGGAGACAUCCGGUUUUCUGAGGAUCUUAUGUUGGAGCUUUGGUUCUUUUUGUAAAUUAAAGCAACAAUAUAUACAUCAGAAUCUUGUUUCUGCAAAAAAAUUGUCUGUAUAAUCUUGUGUUUAUUACUUUAUAUUCGAACUUCGAAAAUUAUAGUAAUAUACUAUCAUUCAUAUUGCACGCAUGCAUAGAUU